UACGGGGGGAGCAAGCGUUGUUCGGAUUUACUGGGCGUAAAGGGCGCGUAGGCGGCCACUGCAAGUCGGUUGUGAAAUCUCCGGGCUUAACCCGGAAAGGUCAAUCGAUACUGCAGGGCUAGAGUGCAGAAGGGGCAACUGGAAUUCUCGGUGUAGCGGUGAAAUGCGUAGAUAUCGAGAGGAACACCUGCGGCGAAAGCGACUCUCUGGCCUGUAACUGACGCUGAGGCGCGAAAGCUAGGGGAGCAAACGGG
rnacentral:rRNA from 1 species